CGGCGCCGCCAUCAUGGCGGCCUGAGGCGCGGUGGGUUCGGCGCCGGGAGCGGCGGGACGGGAGGCCGGGAGCGGAGAGAUUGAAAACCUAGAAUGGCAGGAGAACAGAAGCCGUCCUGCAAUCUUCUAGAGCAGUUCAUUUUACUAGCCAAAGGAACAAGUGGCUCAGCUCUGACUGCUCUUAUAAGUCAAGUGCUGGAGGCUCCUGGGGUUUAUGUCUUCGGAGAGCUGUUGGAGUUAACAAAUGUGAAAGAGCUUGCUGAGGGGUCUAAUGCUGCCUAUUUCCAGCUGCUGAACCUGUUUGCUUACGGAACGUACCGUGACUAUGUAGCAAACAAAGAUAACCUGCCUGAAUUAACAGUGACUCAGAAAAACAAGCUGAAACACCUGACGAUUGUAAGCCUGGCUUCCCGAAUGAAGUGCAUUCCCUAUUCUGUGUUGCUGAAGGACCUGGAUAUGAGGAAUCUGAGGGAGCUGGAAGAUCUCAUUAUUGAAGCUGUUUACACAGAUAUUAUCCAGGGGAAGUUGGAUCAACGAAACCAGGUGUUAGAGGUGGAUUUUUGUAUCGGCAGAGACAUCCAGAAGAAGGACAUCAGUAACAUUGUCAAAACACUCCAGGAAUGGUGUGAUGGCUGUGAAGCAGUUCUUUUAGGAAUUGAGCAGCAAGUACUUAGAGCCAACCAGUACAAAGAGAACCACCACCGAACUCAGCAGCAGGUAGAGAUGGAGGUCACAAACAUAAAGAAAACAUUAAAAGCUACAGCCUCGUCGUCGGCACAGGAGAUGGAACAGCAGCUGGUAGAGCGAGAGUGCCCUCCACACACAGAACAAAGGCAGCCCACAAAGAAGAUGUCCAAAGUCAAAGGGCUGGUCUCCAGCCGUCACUAGAACAUAUCAUCUGAACGUCAUUCGGUCAGGAAUGACAACAGGAGCAGCAGAAAGGGCCUGCGUCUCCUUUUCAGUGGGUUCUGGGCCAGUCCCUUCCCGGCUGGCAAGUCAAAGCCCUGUUUGAGCAGCUCCCAGUUAGCAGCACCUGGCUAAGUUACACUGUGCAGCUCCUAUGAGUUUUCAGGGUGUCCCUGUUCUGGUCCUGUCGAGAGGGACUUUUAGAGAAAGGGAUUAACCAAAAGGGGCAGGAAAAAACCAAAAUAUCUGUGGACCAUUUUGCUCCCUCCCAGCUAGUUCAUUGCUGCUUAACCUUGAGGAAGCUGCUGUACUAAAUCAGAUCAUGGGAGAGCUUCUAUAGCAAGCAUUUGAAUCCCAGGGUUGAAGUGUGGCUACCAAAGCCAGGCUGGGAGUGAGGAAGCCAUCAACACAGAUCUUUUCAUUCCCAAAGGGAGCACAGGAAGGUUUCUAGGCCAGGAACUGCUUUACAUGGAAGCCUUCAGCCUUUCCACUACCCCUGUCUAUUUUAAACUGGGGUGAAAUUCACACUACCUCGCUCUGUGAAGAUGAGUUCCAGUGCUGGGCUGUUUACUUAUCUGUCUGUUUACUGCCCUUACUAAGCCCUUUAAUCUCUCACAGAUUUAAGGCACUGUUCUGCAUCUCUGAGGCAUCAGUACAAUAAGGAGGAAGCAAGCUGCUCUUUCACACAGACCUUGCAGGUGGUUAGGGGCAUGCUAGAAACUAUUCUUCCUGAAUGUGAUGUGUCCUCCCAGAGCUGCUUGUGAGUUGUUUCCCCCAGUGAUACCUUCAGAGGGUAAUGCAUUCGCUCUUCCUUGGAUGCUGGCGACAGUGGGAGAGGAGCCUGUUUGGCACCGAGGCAGGCUGGUGGCCCAGGACCCACUGGCAGGGGUCGCAGCAGCAUCCCCUUGCUGAAGCAAUGGACUUGAUGAGUCUUUGUGAAUUUUGAACACUUUCAGGUUGUAUUUUCCUCCCCUUUUUUUUUUUUUUUGUACAUUGUUGUGAUUCUAAAGCAUUUCAGCCUUUGUUUUGUGAGGGGUUUUUUUUGUUACAAACUAACUUCAGGUGAUUUGCACCUAGUUUGGUAAGGUGUGGGGGUUUUUUUAAGGGGGAAGCAUUGGAACAGCAAUUCAUAAAAAAGUACAUUUUAGAAAAAAAAUUAAAAAUGCUGAUUUAAUGUCAGAGUCUGGAGUCUUGACUUUGAGGCUGUUUUAGGCUUGUUGUCCAAUGACACUUGUUCACUUGAGCAUUUAUUUGAUUCUUGGUGUAUGUGGACCGAAGGUCUGACUGAUCUCUCUGAUGCAUUUGGGAGGCAGGGAAGCCUCUUCACAUUUUGUUAGUUCAUCUUUGUCCAGAUUUGUGGAGAAAGAUCUGUGGCAAAGCUAAUAGCUGAGCCCCGGGUCCUGAGCCUAAAAAGCUUUGAUGCCUGGUUGUGGAAGGUUCUUAGUUGUACUCUUAGUCCAGUCAGUUCCUUCCUUGGCACCUAGCAGAGUGCUGCUUUGUAGUUUGGCCCCUGCAUUUCACUUCUGUAAAGAGAAGCUCUUUCCCUGAGCAGGCAGGGGAGCUGUUUAACCAGAGGACUGUGACAAUGCUUCAGUCCUGCAGCCAACUGUCACCUGCAUUUGCUCGUGCAACGCGUGUGCCUUCCUCUUGUUGCUACCAGGACUUGCCGUGUGCAUGUUUGCAGUCCUCAGUCACAGGACUUGCUCACUUUUGAAAGUAAAUCCCUCUCCUUUUCUUCUCCUGCAGUGCAGGAGAAGAACACUAGUUUUUAAUCUGGAGAGGAAGAUCUAAAUACCUUCCCUCCAGCUUCCUCUGGGUCAAAUCCCAGAAACUUCUGAUUCUGGUCAGGCUUCUGAUUCUUUACCAGCUCUCUCUCCCCCUAGAAAUGCAACAAGGAUAUUAAGUGGAUAAGCCUAGAGCACGAAGCCUUCACCAGUAACUCAAGGGAACUGUUUCCCAAGCAGUGGCAGUAUUAGCUCCUGUUUCAGCUUCUCCCAGUGUUCAGCUUACAGCUUCUUAGGAGUUGCAGGUGGACCUUUUGUCCCCAGGUCUGUGUGACGGAGAUUGGCUGGGUCUGUUUCUGGCUUGCUGCGUGGACAGCUUCAAUGUGCUGGUCAUCCAGCUCCUCACUGGACUUGACUAUUGAGGAGAGGCUCUUUGGUCCUCUUUCCUUUCCAUUUUUAAUAUCAGUCCUGCAAAGUGGAGGAGAAAUACAAAUGCCUUUGGGAAUCAUUUUAGCUCCUCAUCAAGCUGCAGUCUGCUGGGGAAGUAGAUGGGAGUUUGGCACCCUCAGUGCUUAUUCCCUGCCAGUUACAGGAGUCACGUUAGUUUGCUGAAGCUUCUUUAGUGUUGGAGGUUUUUGGGUUUGUUCUUGUGUUUUUGCUGUUCUCAAAGCCUGGCUGGGGGUGAGGAUCUUAUUUACGCUUUGGUUCGUGUUGCCUUUGAUCAGGAAAGCAGCAAGGGAGGAAGUAGCACUUUGAAUAAAGAGCUGUCCUAUGUCUGAUGGUGACAGAGGACAGAGAAGGGACUGGGGUAUUGGAGGGGAUGGAGCUGUUUGCAUGUUUGGCUUUCCUGGUGUGUCAGUGAAGGGCUUGGUGCCGCAAAAGGAGGAGGACGUCUGCAAUGAGCCCAGGCUGAGAUGAGUCAUUAACAAAUGACAUGCACAGAGUACCUGGGGGAGGCAAACAGCUCUGCAGCAGCUGGUUAAUGAAUCUGGCUUGAAGGAACAGUUAGAAGCUAUUCCAGGAAUGAAGCAGAAGGCAGAGUUGUUAACAGGCAAAGAUGCAGGAGGUGCUGUGUGCUGUUUGAGAAGGACAGGACGUAAAGACUGCGUCGACACCCUGCAACUACAGGAAGGGCAACAACUCAGAGCAGAGUUUUGUGAAUUAGGGGCUGAAUUUGGGCAGUUUUGAGUGGGGAGUGCCCAGGGAGCUGAAGUGCUAUGGGGAAAAGAGGGAGGUGGAAGCAGAGGCAGAUUUGAUGCAAACUCCCAUGGAUUGCCUGUGCCUGCUGGAGGCAGCUAACACAGUUUGUCUGAGCACUGCUGGACGCUGCUCCCUGUGCAGGGCGAGCAUCCUGCCCUGCUCUGGUUUAUGGCAGCAAUGGGAUGCUCCAGCUGCAGCUCACUCCAACAUUCAGCAGGACAGACUUUGAGCUAUUGAACUUCUGUUUGCCUUUUCCACUCAGAGGGAUGGAAACUGCCUUCCCUCUGCUCUUCAGGGCUUUAUUGUCUAGCUUUGUGUUCUGCAGCUUCACUUGUACUAGUGCUUGUUUAAUAUGGAAUUGAGCACUGAGCUGGAAAAUGGAAGAGAGGAUCUCAGCUGAUUGCAGUGCUGGUAGGCUGCCCUAGCCCUCAAGCUGUGCCUCAUGCUAACAAAUGUCCCUGGCAUUCCUGCCGAGACUCAGUUUUUACCAGCUAACAUCAGGCAGUUCUGGAACAUGAUAAAGCAAUGCUGAUGUCAGUCUUUAACAGAGAAAAAAAAAAAGUUUUGGUUUGAAAAUCUCUUCUUUUACUUCCCUCCUCACCUUCUUAGCUAAGUUGAAUGCUGACUUACUCUCGUGUUGGGAGCUGGAGGGAAAGUCAAUGAUGCUGACAUACCCUUCUGUCUUCAGAUUUGUGACUUGUCCUGCACUCAAUCAUGUGCAGACUUAGGAAAUCCCAUGGAUGCUUGUGGAGCUGCUCUCAGGCUUGCAGGUCUCCCUCCAUGGAUCAUGUACAGGAGUAGGACCUGCAGAGUGGCUCUCCAGAGUGAAGCUGGAGAAAAUGAAGCUUUUGUUUCUUACAGAAGAUAGUGGUAGGAAAAAAUGGCCAUUUCCCACCAGCCCUGCAAAGUGAAUGUUGCUGAACAUGUUUCAGUUCCUGAAAGAAAGUGAAAGGAUGCAGACCCCAGAUGGUGUUUUUGGUUUUAGUGUUCUUAUCCUGUGAGGGCAAAAUGCAUUGGUCCACGUGUGUGAAGCAGACUUGGGCUUAUUCAUUGUGGGGAAGACAGAAAAAACAGUGCCCUUAUCUUUGAUAGCUGUAUUAGAACAUAAAUCACAUGGGUAAACCAGACUUUUCCUAAACUUUCAGUUCUGUACAGGUUUAUAUGAGUUCAGCUAAGCUAGAAACCACACAAAGCCCACCCCUGCACAGUAAACAGUUCAAACUUGUGCAUUUGUGGGGCUGUUGGUGCUGGGGAUUGUUAUUUUUGGUCUGAGCCUGUUGCAAACUGCAAUGCAGAAAAACAACCUUGCUCUUUAUUAUUCUCAAUAAUGGGGAAAUGGAGAAAUCUAAGAGCCUGCCCCACAAAUGCAAUAGACCCAGAUAGACCCAUCUCAGGCACCUGGUCACAAAGUUUCCUGUUGUUUUUUUUCCACCCCACUAAGUCCUCUAUAACACCUGACCUAAUGCAAGGGAACCAAAACCUGAGUCUGCAUAGCAUAUUUUUGUGUGAUCUGUGAGACAGUGACUCAAGGGCAUCAAGAAAGGUAAAUGAAAGUUUAGAGAGAUCUCAGUUCCUACCUGUAACCUCGACCUUGCAUUCUUAACAUGGAACUUUAGCCUGACAGUCUGAAUUUCUCAGCAGAGUUUUUAAUAAUAUGUCAUUGUUUCAUUCUGCUCCAUGACGAAGAUCUGUGACUCUCAGGGACAUUUUGCUGAUAGUUCCUCAAGUUUGGCCCUGCCACAGAGCUCUCAGAGGUAAGUGAUUGUACUCUGUAAAGGGAAUGUGUUUUUAUCCCCUAGCCUGGGCUGACCCUGCCUCUCAGCAUUCCCAUGGUGCUACUCCCCUCUCUGGUAGGUGAGCCAGGCAAAGGAGUGGGCAGAGCAGCACUUUGCUCCCUGUCUGUGAAUCCACAGGCACGGAUGCUUCUUUGUGCAGUGUGUACGUCUCACGACAUGCCCCAGUGCAAAUCGCCUGAGUGUGGUAGCUGUGACCAGACUUCUUCCUUGUUGAUAAGAAAAGGUGUCUCUGCUCUAGUGAUGGUGCAUACAUACACACUGGAAACUCCAGUUAGUAAUGGGAUGCCACAAGGUGAUUUAACAGUCCUGAAAUGUGCAUUUCCCCACAGAGCACAAAAGAAUUUGUGCCAGUAGUCCUUGCUUGCUCUGGUUCUAGUAGAUGAUGAGACACACUUCCACAUCCCCAGAUCUCCAAAGAGGCUUUGGAGAUCUUUGGAGCCUUUGUAUCAUUAGGAUGUAUUUGAAAUGCCCUAAUCACACAUAAUACCUCUGUGUUUCCAGAAGAGCUGAUUGUGGUGGGUAAGCAAGGCCUCACUCCAUCAGGGAUCAGCCUCUUUGUGAGUAUUUGGAGCUUGUCUGGCCAUAGGCUGUAUUUUCAUGGGUAUGAGGUUUGGAAGUAGUGCUCUCUCACCUUCGAGACUCUUCCCAAAGAUGCUGUUUAUCUCACCAGCCCUGAUGGUUCACUGUCUCAUGAUUAGCACAGUCCUAAGGCUGCUCUGUGCUGAUGCAGUAAGUAACGUCUCAGUGUUUCAUUGUCACCUUCGCAGCUGUUAGAGAGCACCAGUUCCUUCAGGAUCACCUGCCAGCUGUGGUGCUGUACCUUUUACAUCACAACUCUGAGAUGACACCUCUCCUUGCUGGCAGACAAGCCAGGUGGGUAGGCAUUGCUCCUCAGAGCUGUUCUGCAUCUCAGGAGGCGCAGGCUGUAGCCUGGUUUAGGAAAGGAAAUAAGGACAAGGACAGUGUUGUAAAUAAGGGGCAAAGCACAGAACUGUGUCCUCUUCCAGCUCUGCUGCAGCUGCAGAGAGCAACCUUGGGCAGAUCAGUUCCUCUGCAGCUGCAUUUCUCAGGACAGCCUUGCUCCUGCCUGCUGGCUGUGACAGGGUUUUGCUUUCCUGGCUGGGCAGAGGUUGGUUGCUGAUGGAGUAGAAGAAGUUGUGCAUGUACGGUAGGGGGGAAAUCUUACACCUUUAAAGCCUUGCCAGAAGUCGUCUUCUUUUUAAGUAGAUACCCUUCUUUUCCCCUGAUGUAGGUAAGGUGGUCCAUUGUGGGACUAUCAGCCUGGAGUAUUAUGGGUAAUGUACCAGGUUAAUUAAGGAGGGGGCAGGAAAAAUAGCCUGUGCAGUUUUCAACAAUAUCAAAGGGAUGCUAUCUAAUGAUUUUCCUAUUAGCUCUUUUCCCAUCCUGCCAGAGUUGCUGCAGAAGUGUCAUUUACAAAGGCAGUUUGCAACUCAUUACCCUGGAUUUUCACUGUAGUUCUGCUCCAGAGAGCGUGGGCUUUUGCUGCAUGCCCCAACCUAAUGAAUUGCCUGAUUCAGUUAGUGCUGCCAUCCCUCCUGACAAGGUUCGUCGCUGACUGACAGGAAGGGGCCUGGAUUCAAUUCCCUUCUUGUUUUUAACUCACGCUUGUGUCAGGUGCAGGCUCCCUCUGGAAGUUGCCCUGUGAUCCCUUCCCUUUGUUUUUCUGCAUCCUGAGGGAAGCAGCCCAUGCUUGGAGAAGUCCUGGAGCAAGUGGCAGGGGCAUGUGUGUUGCUGCCCCUGGCAGUCCCUGCUCCAUGCCUCAAGUCCCUUUCCAGAUGGAAAAUUCCUUUGCUCUCCUGCUCUGGGACUCUGGGCUUUUCUUUUUCUUCAUUGCUUUGGGAUUUGCUGUCACCUGAGCUGGGCUUUGUAACCCUUCAGCAAUAAGUACCUGGGAAAAGUUGCAUGAAUGGUACCAGGGAAAACAUGCAGUAUGGGCUGGGGGAACAGAACUGUUUUUCCAAACAUUAGAAGGCAACAAUGUCUCUGUUGUGAGUGCUCCAAGGUCUGCUCCAGCCUGUUUGGGCUUUGCUAGGCACUUGUACUACAGCACUGGAGGAAACUCUUUGUCCUUUUUCACUAGAGAGGUGUGUGCUUUUUCAGGCUGGGGGCCUAUGGCUCAACUCCUGCUAGGAAUUGCUCCUGGAGAGGAGAAAUCAAGGCUGUUGCUACGUCUUGUCACAAGUGUUCCCAUUCAGAAGCUGAAUUGGCUAUUUCUCAUUCAGCUGGUGGAGCAGCAAAUGCACCACCAGGUACCAUAAGUGCUAAUUUGACCUGACUAUGGAGAGGGGACCCUGGGACUCUUGCUCCCCUCGCUUUCAGAUGUGUACACACCUCUGCUAAAGGCCAUUGUCUGAGACAAUGGUUGAGGUAUCAGAUGCCAUCUCCUGAGGCUGCACCUUGCAUCCAGAACAACUGUUUUUCGCUUAUGCUGUCUGGGGCUGGGAUGUAGCAGGGGCGUUUUCUAGGGCUGGCCGUGGAUCCUUUCAUGGGAUGUUGUGAGCAUCUGACCUAGCUGGCCCACAGGGGAGGCAGUGAUGUGAGAUGAAUUUGUUUUUGCUGUACAAGAUGCCUCCUUGCCUCUUAAUUAGAUUCCUGUGGCCUCUCUUUCUUGCUGCCCUUGUUUUCUGCUGAGCCCCUGUCAGGGAGACCCAGUUGUGGCCAUUUUGGGUGAUUGCUGUGUUCUAAUGAGCCACUUCUGAUUCCCAUUCUUGCUUGUCCAGUGAAGCAGGAAAGUGCUCAUCAGUGCUCUGAGAACUGACCUCUGCUGGCAGUGCCACACUCUGCCUGUCAGACCUACUGCUCUGGCUGUGCCACAGAGGGGCUGAGAUAGAGUUGAUCUGAGCUUUCUCAAGUGUUCUUUUACCCCUCAGUGCUGCCUUCUCUCUUGCACAUCAGCUCCACCACACAUGGACAUGAUAUUCCCAUCCUGCUGGUAGGAGUCCUGAGGGAUAGGGUGUCUUAUCCCUAGUCAGACCAGAAACAGCCAAGCAAGGAACCAAGCUGUUAUCCUCUCCCUCUGCACCAGGAGCUCUAGCUCUGAUUGCUUUUCUCUGCCAAGCUAAUGGCCUUUUGCCAUACAGCUUUGCCCUUUUUCUUGGGCUUGCUCUUUCCCAGGAGGCCCAGUGGAUGGAAGGGACCCAUGCUGUGGGCUGUGCUUUUUCUCUUGGACAAUGCUGCUGAGGAGAAAUGGGGAUCCAGACUGUGCAUAACCCCAGGCUGUGAUUUUCUAUCUCCCAACCUUAUCUCAGGUUCUGCCUCACUUAGGUGGUCAAAUUGUGUGGAUUGAAUUCCUGAGACUGAGUCACUGCUGCUGUGUUGAGGACAACCCCUCUGUCACCAGGCAGGUGGUUUUAUUUCAGCUCUGGCUUGCAGCAAAAAGCCAAAAUUGGAAGGGGAAUUGUCCCCACCUUGGUCCCAGCCUGUCACUCUGUCCUGGUCACUACUCUGGCUUAAUGCUCAAGGAUGAGGACCCUGAAUGGGACCUGCAGCACCUUCUUACACCUCUGGCAGUGCAAGGUCUGCACAGUAAGCGAUUCCUUAUUGUCCUUUAGGUUUCCUGGGUGACAGUGGACAAUCCCCUCUAAUGGACAUCUCUUUAGGAGCUCCUUAUAUAGCCACUCCUUCCCUCUAAGAUGUUGUGGAGCUGGAAGGGCGACCUUCACAGAUGUGUUUGCCUUACGGAGCCCUGACAGUGGGUUGUCAUUCCCUAUGGGAGCUGCCACUUGCCCAUCCUGCCUCCCUCCCUGGCAGGGUCUUGAUUUUGUUCCCCAUAGGCAACAUCUUACGUGGUCCAUCAGCUGCUGCUCCCUGACCAGCUGGAUCCUAUGGGCACUGCGAGGUGGGUGCCUGUCUCUGAUGGAGGCUGUGCUCAUGCAAGGUCUGAAAUGUCCUCUAGGUGCUCCUAACCUG